UACGUUACGCGUUUUGUAAAAGUGUUGGAUCCGACGCCCUUAGGAGGCUACUAUAGGUUCUCCUUCUCAAUUCCUACUCAAUACGUCCACGACGUGCAGAACGGUAACUUGUCGCCUAGAUCCAAGCUUGGGUAAACGGGGAAACCCAACCCCUUGGGCGGAUGGGCGGCAAGGCAGAAUUGAGAGGU
rnacentral:ribozyme from 1 species